rnacentral:rRNA from 1 species
GUGCCAGCAGCCGCGGUAAUACCCGCGGCCCGAGUGGUGGUCGAUAUUAUUGAGCCUAAAACGUCCGUAGCCGGCCUCGCAAAUCCCUGGGUAAAUCGGCCAGCUUAACUGUCCGAAUUCCGGGGAGACUGCGAGGCUUGGGACCGGGAGAGGUCAGAGGUACUUCCAGGGUAGGGGUAAAAUCCUGUAAUCCCGGAAGGACCACCGGUGGCGAAGGCGUCUGACUAGAACGGAUCCGACGGGGAGGGACGAAGCCCUGGGGCGCAAACGGGAUUAGAUACCCCGGUAGUCCAGGGUGUAAACGCUGCGGGCUUGGUGUUGGGGGUCCUUUGAGGGCGCCCAGUGCCGGAGAGAAGUUGUUAAGCCUGCUGCUUGGGGAGUACGUCCGCAAGGAUGAAACUCAAAUGAAUUGACGGGG